CAGUGGAAAAACUAAAACAAAAAAAAAUCCUGAAUAAGCCCAAUAAACCAAAGUACAAACAAACAAAAAACCAUGACAGUAAAACAAAACAACAUGACACCAAUUCGACACAGACUGACAGCAACCAGGGAACUAAAUACAAGCAAACUGACGAGACAACAAGGAAUACCUGGACAAAUAAUAAUAAUAAUAAUAAUAAUAUUUUAUUUGAAAGCGCUUUUCAUCAUACUCAAAGACACUUUACAAGAUCUUAAAACACAGGAUAAAAAUGUACACUUAAAGACAAGCAUACACGAUUUACAAAAAAAACAUUUAGAUGAACAAAAAAGCAAAAAAUGGGUAAAAGAAAUGAAAAGGUCUUAAAAGCAUUGCAGAACAAGUGAGUUUUAAGAGAUGAUUUGAAGGAUUGGAGGUCAGUACAGUUGCGGAUGUGUUGUGGUACAUGAAUCAUAUGAAUAUCAGGAUUUGAUAUCUGAAAGACAGCUAGACAGGGUUGAGUGGGUUGUUGGGGUAAAUGAUUUGGUGGAGAUGUAUAAUUGGACGUCAUCAGCAUUGCAGUGGAACUGGAGACCGUUGGCCGAAGGGUAGAAGAUAGAGGAUGAAGAGCAGAGGACCAAGAACAGAACACCUUGGGACAGUGGGGCAGUGUAGGAAGAGCAGUUGUUGAGUAUGAAUUUUUUCCUGUCUGUGAGAUAUGAGCGAAGUCAGGUGCGUACUUUGUCGGUGAUGUUUAGGGAUUGCAGCCGAGAGAGUAGGAUGGAGUGGUUGUUGGUGUCGAAGGCAGCUGUAAAGUCAAGAAGGAUGAGGAUGGAGAGUAGACAAAACACAAAGGGUUGAAGAAGAUGCUUGUUGAACACAAGGUACCUGGAUGAAAUGUGGAAACAAAACCUAAAGAGGAAGACAAAAAAAGCACAUGAGGAAACAAAAACAAAUAUAAUCUAAACAAAAACAGAAUCAUGAGCGUAUCCCUCCCUCAAGGUACCGAUUGCAGAUGUCCCAAAGUCACCCAGCGGCGGCCGCAGGAUGUGUGCUGCCAAAGACGGUUGAUGGCCACAGGACGCGUGACACCGAAAAAGGUACAGGUGGCUGCAGGACAUACACCACCAACGCAGAGAUGGUUGGCGGCUGCAGAACGUGUGCCGCCAAAGCAGGGACAGGUGAUGGCCACAGAAUGCGCAACGCCGAAGCAGGGAUGGUUGACAGCCACAGGACAUGCGACGCCGAAGCAGCGACUGUUGACAGCUGCUGGAUGUGCACCGUAACAUUUGGUCAGAUCGUUGUGUCAUGGCUGCACGAUGGUAGAGGACCCAAAAAAGUAGGGAGGCGGGAGAAGCAGUGUGUACUGAACCUCAUGUAUUAACUAAAAACACUUGAAGCGGAACAUUAAAAAACAAAAUCCAAAUUACAAAUUCCUGACCCC